rnacentral:lncRNA from 1 species
CUCGGAGGGCGUAGCAGGAGGCAAGUCCAUUGUCUUGAGCUGGGUCGUCACAGUCAUUCCUGGUUUUAUUUAUGUCUGGAGUAAUAUGGAAAAUUUUCAGCCAAUAAGUGGGCAGAGGUGUAAGAUUUCAAGAUGCUGGGGUUACAUCAGUGAACUUCUCUCCACAGUUCCCUCACUCAGAAAUGGAAUAGAGAGGCUGAUUGUCUUUAUGAUACUUAUGGUCACCAACUCAGUUCCACGACCCAAAGUGACCACAAGAGGGCACUUUAUCCGUAAUGCACGAGAAGGUGAGACGUCAAUUUCUUUCAAUUCCAAACUGAAGAUGAGUAUUGAAGAAAUAUAACUCCUGACACCACGGGCUUCAGGUACUCGAGGAAAGACUUUCCAUCCUCAUACCAUCAACCGUGCCUGAAAUAUCAAAGUUUGUUUUAUUUACAAAAUUAUUUUAUAAUUGUGAAAAACUUUACAUCGUAUGUAAAUAUAAUAAAGAAAAAAACUCCAUUUAUUUUAACAUAAUUAUAUUUUCUUAUGAACAAAUUGUAACGUAUUUUUAAAAGCUUUUAUUUUCUGUAUCUCUCCGUAUUCAUAAAUAUAGCUAUACCCAAAUGUAAAAAAAUAAAUAAAACAUUGUAGAUAAAAUU